GAAAAUAAUUUUUUUUGAAUUUCAUUUUGAAAACAAGAGUGAACCCUAAGUCUAACACUUUCACUCUCGUCCUUCUCUCUGCCUCACACUCACAUGAACCCUGCGCUGCUUCCACACGAAUCGAGCACUCUGCCUCAUACAAACCCUAGUGAUGUCUGACUCCCACGAACCCUAGUGCUUGCUGCUUCCACACGAACCUAGGGCUCUCUGCCUCACACGAACCCUAGCCAUGCCUGCCUCACACGAACUCUGCCUCCAUACGAACCCUAGCGCUCUCUGCCUCACAAAACCCUACUCUCUCUGCCUCUACACGGAACCGAUUUGAAGGUAAUUUGAUGUUUAGGAUUUGUCAUGUGAUUCUAUUUGUGUAUUUCAUUAUGUGUUUCAUCUUUUUACUAGGUAGCUAAAGAGAAAUUGAAGAAAUUUAUCACAGAGGCGGCAGGGGAGAAAGAGUUUCCUGACUCGAGUUCUGAUUUUCGAGCAAUUAAAGCAAGUUAUCACAGAGGCAGGUGAGAGAAUUCUAAAACUCAUUUUUUGUUCCAAUCCUGCUGAAACUGCUUUUCUGUAUCCAAGGGUCUUUGUUGAGUGAGGAGAAUGGUCUGUUUUCUUACAUGGUUCAUAGGUGAAGCUUGCCCAUUCACGUAUGAGUAAAAGAAUGACACUGCAUCGUCUUGACAUUGUUGAAUCUGAUUUGUUGAGAAAGCCAUUUGGCGGUCUGCAACAACCAUUUGCCCUUUCCAGGUUUCAGCCUUGAGGACAAGGCUAACUCUAUUGGGCAGGGAAUUGAUAUCCCACUCAGGUCCAUAGUUGUAAACCUAAGAAUAAAAAGUAGGAUUGAUUGUUUAGUGGUUCUGUUUAGGUGUAUUUCUGUUUCAAUUAGUAGAGAAGGAGUAUUUGGAGAAUGGUCGAUUCUGUUAGAGGGGAGUGGGGUUGGUCUUUUUCCUUUGGAAAAAUGUUGAGAUCAUCCUGGGGGAUUCAUCAGUGGAUGUUGAGUGAGGAGAAAAUAUUUUGUUGAGUUGCCACGAGAUAUUGUGGUUAUAACUAGUGUUUUACUCUAAGAUACUAGAAAUCAUUGUAAUCAUUACUCUUGGGGGUAGAGUUCUCUCUAUAUAUGUCUUCUUGUAUUGAUUUACGUUGAAUCAGUUCAAUAAAGAUCUUUUUCCUCUCAUAGCUAACCCUUUUCAAGUGUGGAUAAUUGGAGCAUACAGAUUCCUCUCUUGCCAGAGAGAGCUCUACUCUUUGGAAACUUGUCUUUCUUUCUCUCAAUUCUGUUAUUUUCAUUCUUUGAUUGCAAGUACCCCUAAUACAAUUCUGUUAUUUUCAUUCUUUAAAUUUUAUUUUGUGAAAUUAUUUUAUAAUGUUCAGUACAGUAGUUUCUGUUUUUAUGUCAAACAGAUUAGUUAUGGUUUAUUUUAUUGGAUUUUGGAUGUUAAAAAGAACAUGUUAAAAAGGAUGUCAUAUACUAUUGACUCCCAUUAUCAUAAAACCAACAUAGUGAACCCUUUCUAAUCUAUAAGGUCUGUGGAUUGACAUUGUAGUGUCUAAAUAUGUAAAUGUGUAUAACUUCUUUUGCUCCCUUGAAUCCCCUUACUUUAGAAGUGGAUGGUCAAAUAAGAUGUCAUUUUAUAACCUAAAAGGAAAAGAUGUAAUUUCAAUAUUUGCUCUACUAUUUGUAG
rnacentral:lncRNA from 1 species